GCUGCAAUUUAUAUCAUAUAUGAAGAUAAUUAAAUAUGAUUGCAUCGUUCGAUGUAGACUGUCAUAAUCAUUUAAAUUUGACAUAUUCGUCUAUAAGACCACCACGACGCGGAAAAAACAAGAUCUAACGAUUGAAAGUGAUAGAGGCACAGUUGUCGAGAGCAAUCAUGUCACUCCAGAACCGAGUAAUGUAGCGGCAAAUCAUCAUCGUCAUCAGCUCAGAAUCAAAACAAAACACCAACAUGAUUCAAACAGGCAUUCAAAUAAUCAAUUACUUAACACCACCAAAAGGCGUAAUUCCUUAAUUUUUAAUACAAAUAGUAUGCUAUACGGGAUUCCUAUGAAGAUGUAUGUAUACGCGAGUACGAACGUAUUAUUUCAUCCAAGUUAAAUAUGUGGAAUGCAAGUUUAAAUUCUCGUCCCUUUUUGCAGACAAAACUCAGAUCCAUGCAUCGUCUUUUCAUUGUUAGAGCCAAUUUGUAUUUUACAGCACGUAUACAUACAUGAUGUCAUACGUAUUCCUCUAAUGAGUCUUAAUAUAUAAUCUGUACACAACAAA
rnacentral:lncRNA from 13 species